GCAUUGGUUGCAUGGGAUAAACUUGCAUCUCCUAAGGCCUGUGGUGGCAUGGGCUUUCGUGAUCUACAUCUCUUCAAUGUGGCUUUGUUGGGGAAACAUGGUUGGAGAUUCAUAACUAAUCCCAACUCACUUUGUGCAAGAGUCAUGAAAGGACGUUAUUUUCCCGACCGUGACUUUAUGGAGGCCACCAUACCGCACUCUGCUUCAGCGAUUUGGCGUGCUAUAGUGGCCGGAAGAGAAGCUCUUGAGUUGGGCUUGAUCAAAAGAAUUGGUGACGGGACUACUAUUUCCAUUUGGAAUGACAAGUGGAUACCGGGCACCCCCUCGCUUACUCCUAGGGUGAUGCCAGGAGGAACAACGUUGGGAUUUGUCAAUCAGCUCAUAGAUACGGAAAAUUGGACUUGGCGAUCUUAG
rnacentral:rRNA from 1 species